rnacentral:lncRNA from 1 species
GUUUUGGAGUGCAGGCGUGAAUAGUCCUUUCUGUCCUGCUUUGAGUACUGCUGUUGGGUGCCUUGGGGGGACCUUAAGGGAGCUCGGAAGUUGAGACGUGGUGAGUGCGAGAUCACUGCCCACAAAGGGGAGGAGCAGGCGGAUGAACAGCCAGAGCUGCAAUGGUGGAUCCUCCUCCAGGGCUGCAUGGGACGACAGAUAGAUGAGGCUCUAGGACGGGCACAAAUGCUACCCGAAUGCAAACCACUCCGGAGAUCUGUAAAAGGACUGGCCCCGGACAGGAAGCACACUUUAAACUAGAGGCGGGGUAAGACUCGUGGGCCAAUCAAGGCUUCCGAACAGAACUGCCAUUCUGGCAAUGAGGCGGGGUCUUCCGGUUGCCUGCUGGAAGUUUGUUUUUGCUCUGCAGGAUUGAAGGGUUCUCCCUAUGCUGCUUUGAGCGCUGCUAUUGGGUGCCUUGAGGGGACCUCAAGUAAGCUCCAUUUUUGAAACAUGAGUCAAAGCCCCGGUGAAGAUUCUGUGACGGUUCAUUGUAUAAUUUAUGAUGAUGAAGAUUGAGUUGCAUUUUGCGGAAAAGAGAUGUUGAGAUAUCUAAGGCAUUGAGAAAUCUGUCAUGCAGACAUGCACACAGGGAGAGGGAGUACCCAAACUGAUGAGAACUUACAGGAAUUGGACCAUCUAAGCCCUUAGAAAGUGAAGUCCACUGUGUCUCAAACAAAGGAUGGCAAGUGUUCAUGACAUCAAUACUACCCAAGGCUUCAGAGUCAUUGGAUUGCAGGUGUUUCCUCUAUGUUUUAAAUUCAGAACUAUUCCAUCCAUCUUUUGGCAGAAUCAGAGCGCUCGGUGAAGAUUCUGUGAGGGUUCAUUGUAUAAUUUAUGAUGAUGAAGAUUGAGUUGCAUUUUGGGGAAAAGAGAUGUUGAGAUAUCUAAGGCAUUGAGAAAUCUGUCAGGCAGAGAUGCACACAGGGAGAGGGAGUACCCAAACUGAUGAGAAGUUACAGGAAUUGGACCAUCUAAGACCUUAGAAAGUGAAGUCCAAAGUGUCUCAAACAAAGAUCUUCAUCCACAUCUUGAAGUUUGAAGUUUGGCCAAGAAUAUACAGAGUAGAUUCUCUUUCUCAGGAUGGCAUGUGUUCAUGACAUCAAUACUACCCAAGGCUUCAGAGUCAUUGGAUUGCAGGAUUAUGCUUUGUGUUGUCCAAAUCUAUGGGAUAUUUUAGGAUGCAGUGACUUAUGAUGAUGUGCGUGUGAACUUCACUGAGGAAGAGUGGGAUUUGCUGGAUCCUUCCCAGAAAAGUCUUUAUGAAGAGGUGAUGCUGGAGACCUACCAGAACAUCACUGCUAUAGG